rnacentral:sRNA from 1 species
UCUUCCCACAGCAGGGAAAUAUCAUUAAGUAACAGACAAAAGGCCUGAGGAGCAGGGUGGCUUACUCGGCUGUGAAACGACACCUGGGCUGUCACGCCCCUGCACCUCUGGUCAAUCAGUGCCGUAACUGUGGCAAGACUUCCUGAAGUUGCUUUUCUCCUCCCUGGGAUUCUGGCCUUCCCACGCUAGCAUUUUGCCACCACACCCGGUGGUGGGAUGAGGAGGUGCCCACGGGGCCUUUCUCCUUUCUGACAGGCUCAUGCAAGCGGUCCUGGACCACACCAUUCCCUACCUGCACGUGAGGGAAGCCUUUGGCCAGAAGAUCGGCCACUUCCAGUUGAUGCAGGGGAAGAUGGCUGACAUGUACACCCGCCUCAUGGCGUGUCGGCAGUAUGUCUACAAUGUCGCCAAGGCCUGCGAUGAGGGCCAUUGCACUGCUAAGGACUGUGCAGGUGUGAUCCUUUACUCAGCUGAGUGUGCCACACAGGUAGCCCUGGACGGCAUUCAGUGUUUUGGUGGCAAUGGCUACAUCAAUGACUUUCCCAUGGGCCGCUUUCUUCGAGAUGCCAAGCUGUAUGAGAUAGGGGCUGGGACCAGCGAGGUGAGGCGGCUGGUCAUCGGCAGAGCCUUCAAUGCAGACUUUCACUAGUCCUGAGACCCUUCGCCCCCGUUUCCUGCACCUAGUGGCCUUUCUUGGGAAGUAGAGAUGUGGCGGCUUUCCCAUCCUGCCCACAGCAGGCCCUCCUGCCCAGCUGCUCUUGUCAGCCCUCUGGCCUCUGGAUGAGGUUGACUUCUCCACAACAGCUCCCAAGCAUCAUGGGCCUCACAGCCGGGCCUGUGCCACGACUAGUGUUCUGUGAUUUAAAAGGGAUUCAGCAGGAGGCAUAUUGUCUGGGGAUUGUUGGGACAGGUUUUGGUGACUCUGUGCCCUUGCUCUCUAACUUCUGAGCCCACCUCCCAGGAUAGGCACCUGGGGGCAUGCAGGUACCCACCUCUUUCUCUUGGGUGAGCCUCUGGCAGGGAGAUCUCUCUGCUCAAGCACAGCAGAAUCAUGGCCCCUCUCCAUGAACUGGAACUUGGUACAGGUUAAGUAUCCCUAAUCCUAAAAUCUGAAACACUUCUGCUUCCAAGCAUUUUGGAUAAGGCAAAUUCAACUUUCAGUCUCUUUUCUGGGGGAAAAAAAUAAUAAACCUACCCUAGCCAGGCGUGGUGGCUCACGCUUGUCAUCCCAGCACUUCAGGAGGCCGAGGUGGGUGGAUCACCUGAGGUCAGAAGUUCAAGACCAGCCUGGCCAACAUGUGGAAACCUCAUCCCAACUAAAAAUAGAAAAAAAUUAGUUGGGCAUGGUGGUGGGUGCCUGUAAUCCCAGCUACUUCAGAAGGCUGAGGCAGGAGAAUCACUUGAACCCAGGAGACGGAGGUUGCAGUGAGCCGAGAUUGUGCCAUUGCACUCCAGCCUGGGCAACAAGAGCAAAACUCUUCAAAAAACAAAACAAAAAAA